CUUGCACACACACACUAGAUGACUGACGCCCUCUUACCCUCCCUCCGUCUCUCACCCUCAUUUUCUCUCUCUCUCCAAGCUCUCUCCGCUACACCACCAAUACUUUUUUCCCUGGCUGUGGUGUGUUUGUGCUUUAGCGAGUGUACAACGAAACCAGUUCUGUGCUGAUCCAGCGUGUGCUAUCCCAUACACAGAGCCAGGAGCAGCGUACCGCUUGCCAACAUCCUGCUUCCACUCUGCUGCCUUUUCUGCUUUCAUUUCCCACUGUCUGCUUUUCCACCAGACCUUUUCUUUCUUUAACCCUCUGCUCUCUUCCAAGAAUGAUCUAGGAAGAGGGGAAAGAAAUAAGAGAAAGGUGUCUGUGUGAAGGGGAGAUGAGGAGACAGAAAAGGAGAGAGAGAGGGGAGAGGACUAGAGAGAAGACUGGGGUUAGGCUGCAACACGAGAGGCAAAGCAACGAGGAGAGGGAGAAAGAAGAGAGCAACAAGGAUCGAGGGAUGAUCGAGGUGGAAUCGGGCAAAAACGCAGGAAAAGGGGGGAAAAAAUUGCCAGACUCAUCCGACCUCUGCUGUGUGGGGACCGGACCCAUCACCUGACUGCCCUCUCCUGUCUUCCUGGUCUUCAGCAGAACAGCCAUGAGACACACACACACCAGCACAGAGCCCACAGACUGCAAAGAGGGGGCUGGGCGGAUUGAUGGAGGGAGAAGACAGAGGCUGAGGUGACUGUGCUGGUGGCGGUGGGGGAGGUAGAGUUGGACAUUUUGGAAAAUUGCAUCCAGUGACUUCUCGCUAAGAUGGAUGCAAAGGCUUCUCUCUUCACCCUUCCACAUCCUCCUUUAACCCUACACGACCAUCAUGUCCUGUGUCCCCAUCUCACCCAGUGAGUGAGAGCACAGCUCCUGUCCUUCAUUUGAACCACUGUCAGACUAACAAAGACAAAAUCUACCUGUAAUUGCUAGUGAAGACAGGGAGACAGUGGCUCAACCAGUAGGAGUUAGAAGAGAGAAA
rnacentral:lncRNA from 1 species